rnacentral:lncRNA from 1 species
UUGUUGCGAACAUCAUAUCAGAAAUCUUCCAGCCCUUCAAGUGGAUAAAUAUUUAAAGGUAGUGUCAAUCAGCCAAGAAAGUAGAGGUGGUGAAAUCUCCAUGAAGUACGUAAAAUGUUUCCAUAUGCAACAUGACAGUACAAAAACAAAAGUCAGUUAAAAACAAUGGUGGGUAUAACCAUGCAUACUUCCAAUCCUAACGAGUAAAAAGUUUUUAAGAGAUGUAUUU